UACGUAGGAUGCAAGCGUUGUCCGGAAUUAUUGGGCGUAAAGAGCGCGCAGGCGGUCUGACAAGUCAGAUGUGAAAGAGGCCGGCUUAACCGGCAAGGGUCAUUUGAAACUGUCAGACUAGAGUGCAGCAGAGGAUAGUGGAAUUCCCGGUGUAGUGGUGAAAUGCGUAGAUAUCGGGAGGAACACCUGUGGCGAAAGCGGCGCACUGGACCAUAACUGACGCUGAGGCGCGAAAGCUAGGGGAGCAAACAGG
rnacentral:rRNA from 1 species